rnacentral:rRNA from 1 species
ACGGGGCCCGCACAAGCAGUGGAGUAUGUGGUUUAAUUCGAAGCAACGCGAAGAACCUUACCAGGGCUUGACAUCCCUUGAAGCAGUUAGAGAUAGCUGUGUCCUUCGGGACAAGGAGACAGGUGGUGCAUGGUUGUCGUCAGCUCGUGUCGUGAGAUGUUGGGUUAAGUCCCGCAACGAGCGCAACCCCUACGUUUAGUUGCUAACAGGUGAAGCUGAGCACUCUAGACGAACUGCCGUUGACAAAACGGAGGAAGGUGGGGAUGACGUCAAAUCAUCAUGCCCCUUAUGUUCUGGGCUACACACGUGCUACAAUGGCCGGUACAGACGGAGGCGAAGCCGCGAGGCGGAGCAAAUCCGAAAAAGCCGGUCUCAGUUCGGAUUGCAGGCUGCAAUUCGCCUGCAUGAAGUCGGAAUCGCUAGUAAUCGCAGGUCAGCAUACUGCGGUGAAUACGUUCCCGGGCCUU